CAGCAGCCGCGGUAAUACGUAGGGUGCGAGCGUUAAUCGGAAUUACUGGGCGUAAAGCGUGCGCAGGCGGUUGUGUAAGACAGGUGUGAAAUCCCCGGGCUUAACCUGGGAACUGCGCUUGUGACUGCACAGCUAGAGUAUGGCAGAGGGGGGUGGAAUUCCACGUGUAGCAGUGAAAUGCGUAGAGAUGUGGAGGAACACCGAUGGCGAAGGCAGCCCCCUGAGCCAAUACUGACGCUCAUGCACGAAAGCGUGGGGAGCAAACAGGAUUAGAUACCCCUGUAGUCCCUGUCUCUUAUAC
rnacentral:rRNA from 1 species